GCCCAUGACAUUCAUUACCGACCCAGGCCCACGACAUUCAUUAUCUACCCAGGCCCACGACAUUCAUUACCGACCCAGGCCCACGCCAUUCAUUACCGACCCAGGCCCACGACAUUCAUUACCGACCCAGGCCCGCGACAUCCAUUACCUACCCAGGCCCACGACAUUCAUUAUCUACCCAGGCCCACGACAUUCAUUAUCUACCCAGGCCCACGACAUUCAUUACCGACCCAGGCCCGCGACAUUCAUUACCUACCCAGGCCCACGACAUUCAUUACCUACCCAGGCCCACGACAUCCAUUACCUACCCAGGCCCGUGACAUUCACUACCUACCCAGGCCCACGAC
ensembl:lncRNA